UGAGAACUGAAUUCCAUAAGCUUU
rnacentral:miRNA from 1 species